GGGAAAUUCCUGAUGGCAACCUCUCGAUUUCUUCGCCGACCAGCGCCGGAAUCCGGUGGCAACCUCCGCUGCUCCCCCUUCCCCUAUUCACGAACUAGUCUCCAUACGCGACCUCCUCCGCUCCUCGCCCUACCAAGUCGCAAACGGCGGCGGCGUGCGCGCCCUACGUCGACGUGGCCCCGCCUCCGCCACCGCUUCCGCCUCACCGACGUGUUAGCAUCCCGUCCACAGUACCCACCUGGACGAUACGCAAUUCCUCCUCCUACUUGUCCGUCUUCGGCACAGCCCUUCCACCAAACUCCGCGCCCCCUUCGCCUCGCAGUAAAGCUCGUAGCGCGCGGCCAUGCCGGCGGCAGGUGCCCUGGUCGUGUACAGGGCGGUGUUCGCCGCGCUCGGCUGCCUCAUGGUGGGCACCCUGGUGUACACCUGCAUCACCGACGGCUCGCCGUUCCGCGCCGAGCUGCUGACACCGUGGAUGAUGACAACACUGGUUGAUUUUUAUGUAAAUAUAGCAGCGAUUUCGACUUGGGUCGUCUACAAGGAAGGAAAUUGGAUUAGUUCUAUCUUCUGGGUAGUACUGUUGGUUUGUUUCGGCAGUGCCACUACAUGUGCUUAUAUUGUUAGCAAGUUAUUUGAGAUAACAUCUUCAGGGCUUUCCCAAAAUCCGCUUGAUCUUUUGUUGCUCAGGCAAGAUAAUCUACCCGAAAGGAAGUGUUCUUUUGUCGUCAUCGGGAGAACUAUUUUCAGCAUUUUGGGCAUACUCAUGGCUGCACUUGUCACGUAUACUGUCAUUACAGAUGGACUGCCUUUCAGGAAGGAUUUGUUGACACCGUGGAUGGCUGCAACCUUAAUUGACUUCUAUAUAAAUGUCUUUGCAAUAUCGGUAUGGGUUGUUCACAGGGAGUCGACUUGGAUCUCAGCAGUCAUUUGGAUAUGCUUGUUGAUAUGCUUUGGAAGCAUCACGACUUGUGGGUACAUUGUGGUUCAACUUCUACAAGUGUCAUACCAGGACCCAGUCUACCAUCUGCUACUGAAUUCCCAUAGCAAGUAUGGAGCUGCACCCUCACAGUAAUCGUCGAUCCUCUUCUACUAGCCUGGUUAGCUUACGGUUGGUGUAAACUUUGCUUGGCAUACAGUCAUUUAUGUGGCGUUUACCUGUUUAAAAUGUAGGAAGAUCUGAAAACUCAUUGAAGGGGGAUAUGUUCUUGGUACACAAUAAUGUCCCCUCUGUUCAUAAAGGUGCCACAAUAAAGGGUAUACCAGAGUAGCAAUUAGAGAGAGAGAGAGAGAGAGAGAGAGAGAGAGAGAGAAAGAGAGAGAGAGAAAAUCUUCGUGGAAUGGAAUGAUUUCUUAACGAAAUUGAAGCUCCUUCACUUGUUAUUGUCUCAAAGGUGGUUUUGUAAUUGUAUAUCAAAUCGAAUUGCUUGGUAAAUGAUGGACAGCAGAUUCUUCUUUUUUGCGAAUACGCAGAAGGCUUGCAUAUCUUUUCAUUGAUAGUGCCAGAGAAAGUGCAGGGGAUACAAGAGGCACUACAGGAGUGCGUACAAGAACGCGACGUGAGUGUACCAAGGCAAAAUGGUAGAGGAAAAAUGAAAUAGACACACCAACAAGUCCCUACCACAAGGAUAUAGCCUAGCAUUCUCUUGUCAUAUUGCUCUGCCUAAAUAAUGGAUGACAAAUAAGCC
rnacentral:rRNA from 1 species